CCUACGGGUGGCAGCAGUCGAGAAUUAUUCACAAUGGGGGAAACCCUGAUGGUGCAACGCCGCGUGGGGGAAUGAAGGUCUUCGGAUUGUAAACCCCUGUCAUGUGGGAGCAAAUUAAAAAGAUAGUACCACAAGAGGAAGAGACGGCUAACUCUGUGCCAGCAGCCGCGGGAAUACAGAGGUCUCAAGCGUUGUUCGGAAUCACUGGGCGUAAAGCGUGCGUAGGCUGUUUCGUAAGUCGUGUGUGAAAGGCGCGGGCUCAACCCGCGGACGGCACAUGAUACUGCGAGACUAGAGUAAUGGAGGGGGAACCGGAAUUCUCGGUGUAGCAGUGAAAUGCGUAGAUAUCGAGAGGAACACUCGUGGCGAAGGCGGGUUCCUGGACAUUAACUGACGCUGAGGCACGAAGGCCAGGGGAGCGAAAGGGAUUAGAUACCCGUGUAGUC
rnacentral:rRNA from 1 species